rnacentral:rRNA from 1 species
UGGGGGGUGAAGAAGGCCNUCGGGUUGUAAAGCACUUUANUUGGUGAGGAAGGGGCGGAGUUUAAGAGACACCGUUUUUGACUGNAGCCAAAGAAUAAGCACCGGCAAACUCUGUGCCAGCAGCCGCGGUAAUACAGAGGGUGCGAGCGUUAAUCGGAAUUACUGGGCGUAAAGGGCGCGUAGGCGGCGAUUCAAGUCGGAUGUGAAAUCCCUGGGCUUAACCUAGGAACUGCUUCUAAGACUGCAUAGCUAGAGUAUGGGAGAGGGAAGUGGAAUUUCCGGUGUAGCGGUGAAAUGCGUAGAUAUCGGAAGGAACACCAGUGGCGAAGGCGGCUACCUGGACUGACACUGACGCUGAGGCGCGAGAGCGUGGGGAGCAAACAGGAUUAGAUACCCUGGUAGUCCACGCUGUAAACGAUGAGAACUANAUGUUGGUAGGCAUGACCUAUUANUAUCGAAGCUAACGCGAUAAGUUCUCCGCCUGGGGAGUACGGCCGCAAGGUUAAAACUCAAAGGAAUUGACGG